UGAGGCUAUAUCACGUUGAAACACUGGUUCGGGUACGAUAACCGAAGGUAAGCAACGUCUAGCCAAUUCAGUACUUAGAUGGGUGACCACUUGGUAGUACCAGGUGAUGUAAG